rnacentral:rRNA from 1 species
GGGGAUCUGAGAGGAUGACCCCCCACACUGGUACUGAGACACGGACCAGACUCCUACGGGAGGCAGCAGUAAGGAAUAUUGGUCAAUGGAGGCAACUCUGAACCAGCCAUGCCGCGUGCAGGAAGACUGCCCUAUGGGUUGUAAACUGCUUUUAUCCGGGAAUAAACCUCUUUACGUGUAGAGAGCUGAAUGUACCGGAAGAAUAAGGAUCGGCUAACUCCGUGCCAGCAGCCGCGGUAAUACGGAGGAUCCAAGCGUUAUCCGGAUUUAUUGGGUUUAAAGGGUGCGUAGGCGGCCUGUUAAGUCAGGGGUGAAAGACGGUAGCUCAACUAUCGCAGUGCCCUUGAUACUGAUGGGCUUGAAUGGACUAGAGGUAGGCGGAAUGAGACAAGUAGCGGUGAAAUGCAUAGAUAUGUCUCAGAACACCGAUUGCGAAGGCAGCUUACUAUGGUUUAAUUGACGCUGAGGCACGAAAGCGUGGGGAUCAGACAGGAUUAGAUACCCUGGUAGUCCACGCCCU